UCCAAGGCAUCGAUCAGUAGCUGGUCUGAGAGGACGACCAGCCACACUGGAACUGAGACACGGUCCAGACUCCUACGGGAGGCAGCAGUGGGGAAUUUUGGACAAUGGGCGAAAGCCUGAUCCAGCAAUGCCGCGUGAGUGAAGAAGGCCUUCGGGUUGUAAAGCUCUUUUGUCAGGGAAGAAACGGUGGGGGCUAAUAUCCCUUGCUAAUGACGGUACCUGAAGAAUAAGCACCGGCUAACUACGUGCCAGCAGCCGCGGUAAUACGUAGGGUGCAAGCGUUAAUCGGAAUUACUGGGCGUAAAGCGUGCGCAGGCGGUUUUGUAAGUCUGUCGUGAAAUCCCCGGGCUCAACCUGGGAAUUGCGAUGGAGACUGCAAGGCUAGAAUCUGGCAGAGGGGGGUAGAAUUCCACGUGUAGCAGUGAAAUGCGUAGAGAUGUGGAGGAACACCGAUGGCGAAGGCAGCCCCCUGGGUCAAGAUUGACGCUCAUGCACGAAAGCGUGGGGAGCAAACAGGAUUAGAUACCCUGGUAGUCCACGCCCUAAACGAUGUCUACUAGUUGUCGGGUUUUAAUUAACUUGGUAACGCAGCUAACGCGUGAAGUAGACCGCCUGGGGAGUACGGUCGCAAGAUUAAAACUCAAAGGAAUUGACGGGGACCCGCACAAGCGGUGGAUGAUGUGGAUUAAUUCGAUGCAACGCGAAAAACCUUACCUACCCUUGACAUGUACGGAAGCCACGAGAGAUCGAGGUGUGCUCGAAAGAGAGCCGUAACACAGGUGCUGCAUGGCUGUCGUCAGCUCGUGUCGUGAGAUGUUGGGUUAAGUCCCGCAACGAGCGCAACCCUUGUCAUUAGUUGCUACGAAAGAGCACUCUAAUGAGACUGCCGGUGACAAACCGGAGGAAGGUGGGGAUGACGUCAAGUCCUCAUGGCCCUUAUGGGUAGGGCUUCACACGUCAUACAAUGGUACAUACAGAGGGCCGCCAACCCGCGAGGGGGAGCUAAUCCCAGAAAGUGUAUCGUAGUCCGGAUUGUAGUCUGCAACUCGACUACAUGAAGUUGGAAUCGCUAGUAAUCGCGGAUCAGCAUGUCGCGGUGAAUACGUUCCCGGGUCUUGUACACACCGCCCGUCACACCAUGGGAGCGGGUUUUACCAGAAGUAGGUAGCUUAACCGUAAGGGGGGCGCUUACCACGGUAGGAUUCGUGACUGGGGUGAAGUCGGAACAAGGUAGCCGUAUCGGAAGGUGCGGCUG
rnacentral:rRNA from 1 species